GACGAACUCUGGCGGCGUGCUUAACACAUGCAAGUCGAACGGAAAGGCCCUGCUUUUGUGGGGUGCUCGAGUGGCGAACGGGUGAGUAACACGUGAGUAACCUGCCCUUGACUUUGGGAUAACUUCAGGAAACUGGGGCUAAUACCGGAUAGGAGCUCCUGCUGCAUGGUGGGGGUUGGAAAGUUUCGGCGGUUGGGGAUGGACUCGCGGCUUAUCAGCUUGUUGGUGGGGUAGUGGCUUACCAAGGCUUUGACGGGUAGCCGGCCUGAGAGGGUGACCGGCCACAUUGGGACUGAGAUACGGCCCAGACUCCUACGGGAGGCAGCAGUGGGGAAUAUUGCACAAUGGGCGGAAGCCUGAUGCAGCAACGCCGCGUGCGGGAUGACGGCCUUCGGGUUGUAAACCGCUUUCGCCUGUGACGAAGCGUGAGUGACGGUAAUGGGUAAAGAAGCACCGGCUAACUACGUGCCAGCAGCCGCGGUGAUACGUAGGGUGCGAGCGUUGUCCGGAUUUAUUGGGCGUAAAGGGCUCGUAGGUGGUUGAUCGCGUCGGAAGUGUAAUCUUGGGGCUUAACCCUGAGCGUGCUUUCUAUACGGGUUGACUUGAGGAAGGUAGGGGAGAAUGGAAUUCCUGGUGGAGCGGUGGAGUGCGCAGAUAUCAGGAGGAACACCAGUGGCGAAGGCGGUUCUCUGGGCCUUUCCUGACGCUGAGGAGCGAAAGCGUGGGGAGGAGAACAGGCUUAGAUACCCUGGUAGUCCACGCUGUAAACGGUGGGUACUAGGUGUGGGGUCCAUUCCACGGGUUCCGUGCCGUAGCUAACGCUUUAAGUACCCCGCCUGGGGAGUUCGGCCGCAAGGCUAAAACUCAAAGGAAUUGACGGGGCCCCGCACAAGCGGCGGAGCAUGCGGAUUAAUUCGAUGCAACGCGUAGAACCUUACCUGGGUUUGACAUGGAUCGGGAGUGCUCAGAGAUGGGUGUGCCUCUUUUGGGGUCGGUUCACAGGUGGUGCAUGCCUGUCGUCAGCUCGUGUCGUGAGAUGUUGGGUUAAGUCCCGCAACGAGCGCAACCCUUGUUCACUGUUGCCAGCACGUUAUGGUGGGGACUCAGUGGAGACCGCCGGGGUCAACUCGGAGGAAGGUGGGGAUGACGUCAAGUCAUCAUGCCCCUUAUGUCCAGGGCUUCACGCAUGCUACAAUGGCUGGUACAGAGAGUGGCGAGCCUGUGAGGGUGAGCGAAUCUCGGAAAGCCGGUCUCAGUUCGGAUUGGGGUCUGCAACUCGACCUCAUGAAGUCGGAGUCGCUAGUAAUCGCAGAAAAGCAACGCUGCGGUGAAUACGUUCCCGGGGC
rnacentral:rRNA from 1 species